rnacentral:misc_RNA from 1 species
GGUAAUGUUUGGGUCUUUGAUUCUUGUUUUGGAUCUUUCCAACAAGCUCCAAAAAUCCAUGUUCUCUACUGAAAGAGGGGCACCGGAUGAUCAAACUCCAGCCUACCAAUUUUUUCACCAUCUUCAACUAAAUGUUUCACCAUCUCAAUUUUCAUUUGUUCAUUGAGUUAUUGAUAGUGGGAUUAUUUUUUUCCGAUUUUGAGACAGUUUUUUUUCUAAUUUUUUGUUAUUGAUUCUGCAAGAGAGACAAAGAAAAGAGGCUGAGAGAGAGGAUUGUGUUGGAGGGAUUGAGAGACGAUGGGUGGAUGAAACAAAGGUAGAUUGUAAGGGUAUUUUCGUCAUUUCCUUUUUUAUUUUUAAAAUCAUGUCAGCUCAGCAUAUUACCUGCAAACAAGCUACUACAGGUGUUCAUCAAUUCAUGUUGCAAGGGU